CCUACGGGAGACAGCAGUGAGGAAUAUUGGACAAUGGACGCAAGUCUGAACCAGCCAUGCCGCGUGCAGGAAGACGGCUCUAUGAGUUGUAAACUGCUUUUGUACGAGGGUAAACGCCGGUACGCGUAUAUGUCUGCACGUAUCGUACGGAUACGGAUCGGCUAACUCCGUGCCAGCAGCCGCGGUUAUACGGAGGAUUCAAGCGUUAUCCGGAUUUAUUGGGUUUAACGGGUGCGUAGGCGGUCGGAUAAGUUAGAGGUGAAAGCCCGAGGCUCAACUUCGGAAUUGCCUCUGAGACUGUUCGGCUAGAGAGCAGGAGCGGUAGGCGGAAUGCAUGGUGUAGCGGUGAAAUGCUUAGAGAUCAUACAGAACCCCGAUUGCGAAGGCAGCUUACCAAGCUACGUCUGACGUUGAGGCACGAAAGCGUGGGGAUCAAACAGGAUUAGAUACCCUUGUAGUC
rnacentral:rRNA from 1 species